rnacentral:rRNA from 1 species
GUGCCAGCCGCCGCGGUAAUUCCAGCUCCAAUAGCGUAUAUUAAAGUUGUUGCAGUUAAAAAGCUCGUAGUUGAACCUUGGGCCUGGUUGGCCGGUCCGCCUCACCGCGUGCACUGGUCCGACCGGGUCUUUCCUUCUGGGGAGCCGCAUGCCCUUCACUGGGUGUGUCGGGGAACCAGGACUUUUACUUUGAAAAAAUUAGAGUGUUCAAAGCAGGCCUAUGCUCGAAUACAUUAGCAUGGAAUAAUAGAAUAGGACGUGUGGUUCUAUUUUGUUGGUUUCUAGGACCGCCGUAAUGAUUAAUAGGGACAGUCGGGGGCAUCAGUAUUCAACUGUCAGAGGUGAAAUUCUUGGAUCAGUUGAAGACUAACUACUGCGAAAGCAUUUGCCAAGGAUGUUUUCAUUAAUCAGGAACGAAAGUUAGGGGAUCGAAGACGAUCAGAUACCGUCGUAGUCUUAACCAUAAACUAUGCCGACUAGGGAUCGGACGGUGUUAUUCAUGACCCGUUCGGCACCUUACGAGAAAUCAAAGUGCUUGGGCUCCAGGGGGAGUAUGGUCGCAAGGCUGAAACUUAAAGAAAUUGACGGAAGGGCACCACCAGGGGUGGAGCCUGCGGCUUAAUUUGACUCAACACGGGGAAACUCACCAGGUCCAGACACAAUAAGGAUUGACAGAUUGAGAGCUCUUUCUUGAUUUUGUGGGUGGUGGUGCAUGGCCGUUCUUAGUGGUGGGGUGACUUGUCUGCUUAAUUGCGAUAACGAACGAGACCUUAACCUGCUAAAUAGCCCGCAUUGCUCC